rfam:Aspergillus flavus AF70 539, whole genome shotgun sequence.
ACAUACGACCAUAGGGUGUGGAGAACAGGGCUUCCCGUCCGCUCAGCCGUACUUAAGCCACACGCCGGGAGGUUAGUAGUUGGGUGGGUGACCACCAGCGAAUCCCU